rnacentral:tRNA from 1 species
UUAGUCGUGGCCUACCGGUUAGGGCUUCAGGCUUGGAACCGAAGGGUUGCCGCUUCGAUCCCCGACAAGUAGA